rnacentral:misc_RNA from 1 species
AAUCUCAAUCCCGUCUGGUUUAUGACCUGGCGUGGACUUGGACAUGGGCGUCCUGCCGGUUACACGGCUCGCCUCAAAUGACUUAGUGGGAUCGCUUGCAUCCGUGACAGACGUAAUAAGUUUCGUCUUGUCCCUUGCUCCGCGUCAAGCCCGCUCAGAACCCUUCUUGCCUUGUGGCAGAAAACCUUUUGA